GCCACGGUGGUCUAGAGGUUAGAACGCUAGCCUUGUAAUCCUGGGGUCUCGGGUUCGAUUCCCGGCGGUGCCC
rnacentral:tRNA from 1 species